ensembl:lincRNA Gm29502 predicted gene 29502
CUGGGGAGCGAAGCUGGCCUUUAGCUGCAAUGUCCCAUCUGCCCAGGGAAAACAGCGCACAAGUACUUGAGAAGUCCCACCUUAGAGGCUGACUUCGGAUGAGUUUUACUGAAAGUCUAGCGUGUCUUUGGCCGAUUUUCUGCCUCUUGCAGGUCUCCUGAACUUCUUUUCCCUUUCAGAAAAGCUCACCCCUGGGAAUGGGCUAGGAUGUGGCUCAAAAUCAUCUUUCACAAGAAGAACUAAAGAAAGGAAGGAAGGAAGGAAGGAAGGAAGGAAGAAAGGAAGAAAGAAAGAAAGAAAGAAAGAAAGAAAGAAAGGAAGGAAGAAAGAAAGCAAGAGGGUUCUUUUCAGUGGAACUUCAGGAGCAAUAUCUUCUACCUCCAGACUCCCUUGUAGGUGCUUGAAGGAGUUGAGAAAGAUUUUCAGUGGAUAUACUUUCAGCCAUUAUCUGUGAGUUCAGCCCUGAGUCUUGAUCUAGGCUGUAUAGAGGUCAAUGGGAAAUUUCCAUUUGGACAUACUUGGGUCUCUCCCAGUCUUCUUCCCCAGAAAGGUUGUGUCAAGACUCUGGGUUCACAGAACAUCGAGGCAGUAGGAGAUGCUGCCUACGGUUCCUGCUGUGGAGAUGCUCAAUAGCCCAACCUACACACCCUGUGGGUGGGCUCCCUGCUGCUCCUGUUCUGUGGGGACACAGGAGCUUUGGUGAAGUUGGGAGCCCCAGUUAAAGAUUUAACUCUGGGAGCUGUUAGAAACAGGAUAUUAUCUCUGCUGUUAUGGGCCCCAAACUCUCUCUUCCGUAACUCUGAUCUGGAAAUGAAAAAUCAAAUGGUCUUGCUUCUCCUCUGAGGCAAGAAAGGCAAGUCUGCGUUUUUCUUCAGUGGGGGAGAGGAGAUUGAGAAGACCAGAAGAAAUACACUUCCCACAGAGUCUUUGACCUGGGAUUGGGAAACACUGCACAUGUAAUUACACCCUUGUGUUCCUGGCUCUUGUGAAGUCCCUUAAUAUGAAAACGUAUAUACACGUAUCUAAAACAGAGGUCCCCAAAUUGAUUCGUUGUCAAACUCCCUCCACUCCGAGACAGUGCUCUGGAGAAUGAACUUUAGGGAAUCUGGGGCUCUAUGCAAAUCUAUUUAGUGUCCAUCUUUGAAGGCCAGAGGACUAUAGAAUGUAUAUUUUGACACUGAUAGAGGGACACUUGUUCCUAUUGUCUAUAGUUUAACUCAGCCAAAUCCUUCUUUGCCUCAGCCUCCAUUUCUUUUCCAGCAUUUUAAGACUUUCUGAGGCAUCCGUGCCACAAGCCAGGGUGUCUGGGCAUCCAAAUUAUAUUCGCAGAGCUCAGUGCAUAGACAUGGAUGUUUCAUCUACAUGGUGAGCUUUACUGAGCCUAGGACAAUAAUACAAAUACUAGUAUAGUUCCGAGUUUGUGCUCACCCCUGUCUGCUGGCACACAAGCCUGUUGAGUUUCUUCCUCAUGGUAGCAAGAAACAUACACUGACCUUGGUUGCAUAGCUAGCUGAGAAGGGAGAUAAACUCUGGCUGAAGGGUGAAGACAGAAAUCACCCUCUAUUAUUGCUUCCAUCUUCCAGCCUAUUUUUUUUUUAAAGUAGCGUUAGUUCCUUGUGUGUUUUAGUUCCUUAUCUACAAUUGAGCUCUUUGCUUCUCUGCUCAAGGUCACCCAAUGAGUACUGCACCUCAUCUCCGGUCCCACUUUGGCUGUAUUUCUUCUCUCCAGAAUGAUUUUUUUUUUUUUUUUGCCUGUGAUUCACAAGUGGGAAACCUACCAAAUCUCCACUGCUGCUCUCUACUCUUUGCUAGCAAGGGAAGCUAAGCCAAGUAGACAGAAGUACCCUGUGGGCAAAUGCCUGGGGCCUCACUUGGCAUUCCCAGGGCACUAGCCUGUGAGCCCAACUAAUGAGGAGAACUUCAGGGGAGAAACUUUAGGCAGAAGGCUUUUCUGAAUCAUGUCUCUUGAUGUUUUUCUUUUUUUUUUUCCUUUUCCCCAGAGUAGGUCUGGCUCUCAGAAGGGAGUGUUAAAAGGACUGCACAGCUCUUAGAAAGUGGUUUCUGGAACCUUCACUGCUGGAGGGAGUCAUCAGGCUUCUUCCUUUGUGCUUUUUCCAAGCUUCUAGUGGAAAGCCUGGGGUCUGAGCUAAGCUCCUUGACCCUUUUCCCCUCUAACAGAGACAACCAAGCAUAUCUGUAAACCAAGGAGCAUCAGGGAUAGGGACCUCUGGGGGUAGGCUCAGCUGUCAGCUUGGGGCUUUCUGGAGUCACACAGCAAUGGGAGGUCCCACAGGGUGGGAAAAGACUUGCGAUCCUCCAUGUUAGCCGAUCCAGGGGGUGUUCAGUUGGGCCAACUAACUUCUUCUUCUUCCACUCAACUGACCCUAGAAAUACUUGGCUUAACUGCAGAGCUAUAUCAAUUACAGUAAUUUACAUGAAUUAUUUACCAAUUAUCUUUAAUUACUGGGCUGCGUGAUAGUGAUUAUGCAUAUCAUCAAAUGUGUGCCAGAUCAACUUGGUUGCAAGAUUUAUUUGAUUGUAAUACUAAUCACUGUGCACAUCUGCUUAGUGUUUGGGAAAUGCUUACCAGUGGGGGCAUUUUCUCAUACCUUGAAAACAAUAGCACUACCACUGGAAGACACUUGCUGUUGGUGGACAGGUUGAAGGAAGAGAGAAAGAUAAGCAAUGAUAAUUACUAUCUGCUUCCAACCCCAUAAAUUUCGAUGAUUAGUUCUGGGGACGAAGCAAGGCCAACUGGACCUCAUUAAAAGAUGAGCUUCUGUUCCUGAGGUCAGGAACUCGGGUAUAAUUCAUAUUUCCACCUUAGUCUCCAACAGGUAAAACUUCCAUGAAUAGUGGUUGGAUUGAAUUGAGCUGAAUUUGAAAUGGUAGUAGGCUUCAUUUCACAGCCCCAAAUUUUUUAUACUGAGACUGUCAUGAAAUAAUGCACUGAGGCUAUUUCUUCCAGUACUCUGACAGCUCGUAAGAUCACAUGCAUGGGAUUUUAUGGAGGCAAAAAUAUUACACAGAAUGAAAGGCAAUACUGAUGUGCUUUGCAUUUAUGACAUCUGUAAGCUACAGAGCUAACAUCUCAUUUCCUGAGAGGGGAAGCUGAGCUCAUUAAUUGCUUAAAUACAUAUGGCACUGGGCGAGGCCACCAUUAUCACAAAAGUCAUGCGGUAAACAGUACCAAGUAACUUGUGUUUUCUGUGUUGUUAAUAACAUCAUUACUAUUAGUAUUUUGAAAUAGUUUUUUCACAUGGCAUACACUGAAGCCAUACAAUAGCGAGUAAGAGGUGAAUCUCCUUCUCUUACCUCAUGUCCCCAGGUCAUUUCUCAAGGGCAAGCUUGCCCAUAGUUUAUAAGUAAUUCUUUAGAAAGAUCUUCUGUACAUCUACUUAAAUGUACAUUGGUAGUUUUUCUUGAAAAUUAAGAGAUUAGGUACUGGCUAAGAUAGGAAAGGUACAAAGAAAAAUGCUGCAAAUAAAUAUGUAUCUCAUGGUCUAGUUUAAUAAAUAAAGCCAUCAUAGCCAUCCAGCAAGUAAUUGUUUUCUGAACUUGGUUCUCAUGUGCACUCAUGAAUUUAUGAUGCCUUUAUGUUUCCUAAAACGGUGUAUAGCCAAACUUUUAAACAGUCUGUUUAUGUUACGAUAUUGUUCAUAUACUUCUUUCAUGUGAUUUUUUUUACCCUCAGCAUUAUAAGAAACAUCUGUGUAAACGGUCACAUAAUACUUUUUUCACAUAAUAAAUAUGCUGUUUGAUAUUCU